rnacentral:lncRNA from 1 species
CCAAAAUUUACCCCACCCUUCACAAUGUUCAUCUAUGUCCGUAAUCCUAAUUCGGAUGCAUACAUUCAUACUCAAUCAUUUCACUUGCAUUGGCAUUAAAUAAGACAAGAGAACAUGUGUCGCAUCUUAGAGAAACGCGCACACAAAAUAGAGUCGCCACCAAUGUUAUUUAUCCCAUAAGAGGGAAAUGGAACACUGAGUAAACCUAAAGAAGG